AGUGUUGACACCAUUAUUGUAACAUCUGUGAAGGGAAAAAUAUGAGCCGAUUUCUAAGUGCACAAAUGGUACCAGAGUUAUAAAGAUUCUUUUAUGCUUAAUUGUAUUCAUUAUCAGCAGUAAUUAUUUCUAACACAAGCAGUUUCUUCCAAUUUAAUGUCAACCUAAAAGGUUAAGACCUUAUGAUAGAGUCAUUUCUACCUCAUGAUUUGUUGGGUCUGCAAAGUUAGGCUAAUUGGUAAAGCAAGAAUUGCUUCUGAGAGCUCUAGUGCCUGGGUUUCCGCUCGUCUGGAUAGAGUAGAUCUCUCCGUUAACGUCACCAAAUGGUACAACCAGGCAGAGUUCAAAAGAAGUCCCAGGCUUGCGCUCUGUGCCAUGUUUUUGUCAUCACUGGAGAGUCUCCUGGAGGUUGUCUCUCCAACAUCCUUGUAAACCAACUUCUGUAACUGAGGAUGCUGAUGUUGAGUGAUGCAUGGGAGUGGGGGAGAAGGCUCCAGAAUGUUCUGGGGUUCCAUUUAUGGAUGAGGAGCUGGCCUCACUAGCUUAGACAAUGAGGGCACAUCUUCCUUGUGCCAACAGAUAAAAGCCACUGUGAUCUGAGUCCUAUUCACAACUGGCAGAGGUGACAUCUGAUCCUCAAGCUUCAUCCAACAGGUUGACCAAAAGACAGUCCCAGAAAACAACUCUGCACCCUCAAGAGCAUGAGCCUGAGCCUUUCACCGUGCAAGACGAAUGACCCUCACUUUGAUACUUGGUGCCACCUCUAACAAAAAAAAAAUUACAAUAAUAUGACCGUGAUUCACUUCCAGGAAGUAAUUUGGAUAUGUGCCGAUGAGGAAUGUCUGCCAGCCUGCAGUGCAUUUGUCUUUCUUCUGCCCACCACAGCAAAUUCAGUACAAAAUGAUUUUAAGUGAAAUUCCCAGGAAUAUAAUUCGGGGCAAAGACAAUCGAAUGCUUAAUGAACUCUAUUCCCGAGCCUGCUAUUUUUAUUCCCGUUCGGCUUCUCUGCUUCCACGUCCCCGCGCAGCCCGCGGUGGUGGGGCGGCGGCGACAGAGGCUGAGCCCGGGCCCGGGCCUUGCAGCUUCAGGAGGAGGGCGGCUUCCAGAGAGAGGGCUGCAGCUCGAGGGGCACCCCCCACCCCCACCGCCCGGAGGCUCUGCUGGGCUGGCACGGGGACCUAG
rnacentral:lncRNA from 12 species